rnacentral:rRNA from 1 species
AUGCCCCCCAAACUCCUCACUCACCUCCUCCUGGCCCUCGUCGCCGUCUCCGGCGCGGCGGCGGCCCGGCGCCACCCGGCCCCGGCGAACUUCACCGCCUCGGGGAACCCCGUCUACAUCUGGCCGCUGCCCAAGAACUUCACCUCCGGCACGCAGACCCUCGCCGUUGACCCCGACCUCGCGCUCGACCCCCAGGGCGCCGGCGCCGGCGCCGCGGCCGUCGCGGAGGCGUUCGAGAGGUACAGGCACCUCAUAUUCUCCCCGUGGGCGCACGCGGCCCGCCCCGCGUCGGCGGGGUACGACGUCGCCAGGCUCACCGUCGUCGUCGCCUCCGCCGAUGAGACGCUGGAGCUGGGGGUGGACGAGAGCUACACGAUCUACAUCGCGGCGGCGGGCGGCGCCAAUUCCAUUGUCGGCGGAGCAACCAUAGAGGCUAAUACAAUAUAUGGAGCUAUUCGCGGACUAGAGACAUUCAGUCAGUUAUGUGUUUUUAACUACGAUACAAAAAAUGUCGAAGUGCGGUAUGCACCAUGGUACAUUCAGGAUGAACCACGCUUUGCCUUCCGUGGCUUGAUGCUAGACACCUCAAGGCAUUACCUCCCAGUUGAUGUGAUAAAGCAAGUGAUUGACUCCAUGUCAUUUUCUAAGCUGAACGUUCUUCAUUGGCAUAUCAUCGACGAACAAUCUUUUCCAUUGGAGAUACCAUCAUAUCCAAAUCUAUGGAAAGGUUCAUAUUCAAAAUCAGAGCGGUAUACAGUGGAAGAUGCACGCUAUAUUGUCAGUUAUGCUAAGAAAAGAGGUAUCCAUGUCAUGGCGGAAAUUGACGUACCUGGUCAUGCAGAAUCAUGGGGAAAUGGAUAUCCAAAACUUUGGCCUUCUGUUAGCUGUACAGAGCCAUUAGAUGUUUCUAGUAAUUUCACAUUUGAAGUAAUAACUGGAAUUUUGUCUGAUAUGAGAAGAAUCUUUCCGUUUGGGCUGUUUCACCUGGGUGGCGAUGAAGUAUAUACAGGCUGCUGGAAUUUAACACCACAUGUGAAGCAGUGGCUUGAUGAACGCAACAUGACUACAAAGGAUGCUUACAAAUACUUCGUGCUGAAAGCUCAGGAGAUAGCAAUUGAUCUUAACUGGAUUCCUGUAAAUUGGGAGGAAACCUUCAACUCAUUCGGAGGAAGCCUCAAUCCCCGGACUGUUGUGCAUAACUGGUUGGGUCCUGGGGUCUGCCCUAAAGUUGUUGCAAAGGGUUUGAGAUGUAUAAUGAGUAACCAAGGUGUAUGGUACCUUGAUCAUCUUGAUGUUCCGUGGGAAGAAGUCUACACUGCCGAGCCACUUGCAGGAAUAAACGACUCAGCGCAGCAAAAGCUGGUACUGGGUGGAGAGGUUUGCAUGUGGGGUGAGACUGCAGACACCUCCGAUGUCCAACAGACCAUAUGGCCACGAGCAGCUGCGGCAGCAGAGCGUAUGUGGAGUCAGUUGGAGGCCAUAUCGGCCCAAGACCUGGAAACAACCGUCCUGGCUCGGCUACACUACUUCAGAUGCCUGCUGAAUCACCGCGGUAUCGCUGCAGCCCCAGUCACAAACUUCUAUGCUCGGCGGCCUCCAAUCGGCCCUGGCUCAUGUUUUGUGCAGUAA